AAUGUCUGAAACACAGGCUUUGGACAGAGGAGGAGGAGCCAGAGCUCCGAAUGGAUUCCAACACCAACAGGAUUUAUAAGGGAAAGAGGCCUAAUCUGGGGACAUUGGGUGGUGUGUGGAAAGGCAGGGGGGGCCUCUGUAAGGGGAAAGAUUUGAGGGGCUAGGACUGAACCUCACUGUCCUCACCCUGCCUACAGUGCCCUGGGGGUGGCUCUGGUCUUGAGCCUACUGUUUAUCUUGCUUCUGCGCCUGGUGGCCGGGCCCCUGGUGCUGGUGCUGAUCCUGGGAGUGCUGGGCGUGCUGGCAUACGGCAUCUACUACUGCUGGGAGGAGUACCGAGUGCUGCGGGACAAGGGCGCCUCCAUCUCCCAGCUGGGUUUCACCACCAACCUCAGUGCCUACCAGAGCGUGCAGGAGACCUGGCUGGCUGCCCUGAUCGUGUUGGUGGUGCUUGAAGCCAUCCUGCUGCUGGUGCUCAUCUUCCUGCGGCAGCGGAUUCGUAUUGCCAUCGCCCUCCUGAAGGAGGCCAGCAAGGCUGUGGGACAGAUGAUGUCUACCAUGUUCUACCCACUGGU
rnacentral:sRNA from 1 species